rnacentral:rRNA from 1 species
UCCGCGACUCCUACGGGAGGCAGCAGUGGGGGAAUAUUGCACAAUGGGCGCAAGCCUGAUGCAGCCAUGCCGCGUGUGUGAAGAAGGCCUUCGGGUUGUAAAGCACUUUCAGUCGUGAGGAAGGUAGUGUAGUUAAUAGCUGCAUUAUUUGACGUUAGCGACAGAAGAAGCACCGGCUAACUCCGUGCCAGCAGCCGCGGUAAUACGGAGGGUGCGAGCGUUAAUCGGAAUUACUGGGCGUAAAGCGCAUGCAGGUGGUUUGUUAAGUCAGAUGUGAAAGCCCCGGGGCUCAACCUCGGAAUAGCAUUUGAAACUGGCAAACUAGAGUACUGUAGAGGGGGUAGAAUUUCAGGUGUAGCGGUGAAAUGCGUAGAGAUCUGAAGGAAUACCGGUGGCGAAGGCGGCCCCCUGGACAGAUACUGACACUCAGAUGCGAAAGCGUGGGGAGCAAACAGGAUUAGAUACCCUGGUAG